CAGGGGUGGUAUAGUACGUCAUCAACAGGUGCGCGCAACACUUCCCGAUGCGGCUUUUUUAUGUCAAAACACCUCGAUUCGAUCACAACAGAAACACCUGAGAUAUUCUGUUUAUCAGAAUUAAAUUAUGAAGCUAAACACUUGGGGUUCAGCAGUAUGAUAUCCGUAGACAGAUGAACAUAAACUGCAUAUAGUAAUUCAUGCAUUUCUCGGGAAUAAAAUGACACGUCAAAAAAAUCAGAAUUGUAGAAAGAACAAUACCCGCUUGUUGAGGAUGUUUGUGAAAAAGUCAGAAAUGAAGACCACAAAAGUAGUCGUUGUUUGAGGUUCACUCACUGGCAAUAUGUGCAGACACCGUUUGAAACAGCUCACUGUUACGUGUGACCACUACCGUACAAUAUUUAGCCAUGAACAGCUUUUGUAGACGGAGUUUAAUGUGAUUUUGCGUGACUUCAAACAAUUGUGAUUUUUUAUUGAAACAUGUUUUGUUUUGUCUGUCUGUGUCACAGAGUCUUGUCAGUGUCUCUCCUUUCUUCUAAAUAACAUUUGACAGAUUUGAUGAAAGGCAACAGCAGUAUUAAACUUUGUAUGAAAUGUAGUUGACACUAAUGCGCAUAACGGGUAAAACACAACAAUGUAAAUAUUCUUGUUAUCUCUAUGUUUCGGUCAAUAAACGUUCACAGAUUAUACUACAUUGUCACUUUAUCAAGUUUUGUGUGUUUCUAAUGAAAUUUCUGAGUUAUAAUUAGUGUAGUUGCGCAAAACCUCAACAUUUUCCAGUUUAAUGGUUUCAAGAGUUAUUAUAUUCUGAUUUUUGUUGAUUUUGAAGUUUAGGCAGUGCAUCUUCACUUCGCGUCUUUCUGUCGUGUCUGAAUAUUUCCAGUUGUUGAGAAUAUGUGACAUAGAGAUGUACACUGCUUCUUGAUCGAACAAAAAAAUAAAGCAUACAAUGUG